CAGCAGUAGCCACGGUAAUACGAGGGGGGCAAGCGUUGUUCGGAAUUAUUGGGCGUAAAGGGUGCGUAGGCGGUUUGGCAAGUUUGGUGUGAAAUCUUCGGGCUCAACUCGAAGUCUGCAUCGAAAACUGCCGGGCUUGAGUAUGGGAGAGGUGAGUGGAAUUUCCGGUGUAGCGGUGAAAUGCGUAGAUAUCGGAAGGAACACCUGUGGCGAAAGCGGCUCACUGGACCAUAACUGACGCUGAUGCACGAAAGCUAGGGGAGCAAACAGGAUUAGAUACCCCGGUAGUCCCUGUCUCUUAUAU
rnacentral:rRNA from 1 species